rnacentral:lncRNA from 1 species
AAGGGCUCGAAGUUCAAUGUACAUUCCGAGAAGGUGUUAGGCCCUCGGAAUGCCCGCUAACUUGCGGUUGACCGGCGAUUUGACUAAAAUGAUUUUGACUAAUUUUAAAUUUUAACCAAGUGAAAGAACUCAUUUAUUUUAACUAAUUUUUCUUUAAAAAUUUAACCAUGUAAAAUAACUCAUUUAUUUUAACUAAUUUUUCUUUAAAAAUUUAACCAAGUAAAAUAACUCAUUUAUUUUAACUUAUUUAUUUACUUACUUACUACUAUUACUUUUCUAAUUAAUUAUUUUUAAGGGGGAAUAAACUAAGGGGGAUCAUUCUAAAGGGGAGUGAUUUAAGUGUUGACAAAAUAAAAAUAAAACAAAGCUAAGUAUAAAUAUUUUAAUUUUUAUAAAAAUAAGUGAAGUGGCCAUCUUCGGGAAUUUAAUUAACUUAAACCAAGAUCAAGAUAAAAAUGUUAGUCAAGUACCAUAAACAAGUAAAUAAGAGCAAGGAAGGAAAAUAUUGAAUUUGGGCCUCCCCAACUCUGCUGGACCAAUUGGGCAAAACAAGAUUGGGCUUUGGCCCAUUUUCGUCCAGCUUUCACACUUAAAAUCUGUGUAUACGUCGAACGUAUAUGACUGUAUACGGUACGUGUUUCAGCUCCCUUUUGUGUAUAUCGGGCGGUAUACCAAAUGUAUACACUCUUUUUCAACCCCUGCACCUGUAUUUUGUUUUUCUGCCCUGUAUAUCAUGUGUACAGUUGCUGUAUAGCAGUGUAUACUGCUGUGUACAGCAGGUAUACAACUCUUUUUUAGCUUUUGGAGUCUUGCAUUAGCUUCCUUUUCACCCUCAAACACCAAAGGCUGACUCGAUGCUCAAAAAUGCAGGGAGAUGAUGAAAAAGAGUCCAAAUUGGACUCCAUACGAAUUCGCAUGAUACAAAAAAAGAAGAAGAUAAAAUUAGCACCUAAGGUAAAUAUAGGAUAGCAAUGUGUCUAAAACAAAUUACUACAACAGCUUCCAAGCUAAAGUAUGUCAAACAAAAUUGUUUUGAUCCAUUAACGAAGAUUUAAGAAAAAGGAUAGUGAACCCACAAAUAAUGUGCAAAAUUACUAGAGUUGCUCAUGCCUAAGCUACUGUUUUCAAACAGAUUUAACAAAAGGGAAGCCAACUCUCACCUUGCUCACAAGUUAGUUGUCAUUUAAUGCAUAACACGAUGGCAGGUAACACCAUACUAGCAAAAUUCCUUUAACAAUAAGUAAUUAAGGCAAGCAAACACAUGAAUAAAAGGAACAAGAGGUUGUCAGACCGAAAAUAAACUAAACACCCAUAUUAACACAUAAACACAACACAUAUAUAAGUUUAAAAUUUAAAUACCCAACUAUUAUCCUUUGCCCAAGAAAUCACGUAGAUAGGAGAAUCAACCAAAAUACACUCAAGUAAGGAACAAUUACGGGGAAAUAAUGCUUCAGAACGAAUUGCAAAAUGGAAUAAAUAUAGUAAUAUAAAUAUGGAGGGAAACAAAGUAAAGAAACAAAUGGAUUGAAGCUCAAACAAGUAUAAAACUUAACAGGCAUGAAUUAGAGACAUAUUAUGAUUUGUGACUAGAAUUUAAGCCAUAAGCAGGUCAUAUUUCAGACAAAGCGAGCCAAGAACCAAUUUAAGAUCAAACCAUGACGAAAAGCGAAGAUUUAAACACAAGUCGAGAUACACAAUAUUCUACGCAUUCAGAACCUCAAACGAGUCAACUAGAAAUUAUAAGCAGCUAUCGGAAACCAUAUUCAAUCAUUUUGCAAAAAAAAUAUACAAAGUGUGAGAUAAAAAACAAAUGAUAUGCAAAGCAUCUUAACUGUAAAUAACACAUUGAAGCAAAAAUACAAAAGUAGGAAAUAUCACCUUUUUCUGGGCAGUGACUGGGACUAGACGAGCAGGGAAACAAAUUUCCAUGACCACAGCGAGAAUCCGAGAACUUCGGCGAGCUCCGGAGACGGUGAGUGAAGGAAGAGACAGAACUAAAGAAACUCAAAAUCCUUUUAGCUGCUCUUUAUGAGAAUGAUUUUUGUUCCAAUUUUGACUCUCUAUUUGCAACCUUAUGUAAAUCCUUUCUCUAUAAAUUAUGACUCUUUCUAUAUCAUUUUUCACCGACCUUUUCCCAAUUUUCUUUCAACUUUUUCUCCCCCCGCACCACAAAUAAGAAGAAGGGGUAUUUAUGGGGAAAAACUAGGGUUCAGUUGAGGGGAAAAACGGAAUGAAUUCCAAAAUUUGAAAUUCAAAAAUCUUUCACAAAUUAGGGGAGGCAACCUUUUCUCUGAAAUUUCACCCAUUCUGGAAGAGGAAGGGGGGAUGGACGCCUCAGAUCGGCUCCCUUGUCCUUGGACGCGACGUGGCAUGAUCUCGCAUUGCCAAGGACGAGACGCGUGUUGCUGCGACUGCCGACUGAAAGGGACGGGAAGAAGAAAACAAAAUUUGCUUGCUUUUCCGUCUAUCGCCGUGAAUCUCUGUGUUCCGUUUGAAGAGCCAACGUUUGUGAACGUUGCUCUGUCGUUUGUG